UACGUAGGCAGCAAGCGUUGUUCGGAAUUACUGGGCGUAAAGAGUGUGUAGGCGGUGCUCUAAGUUCGGUGUGAAAUCUCCUGGCUUAACUGGGAGGGUGCGCCGGAAACUGGAGUGCUCGAGCGUGGGAGAGGAAAGCGGAAUUCCUGGUGUAGCGGUGAAAUGCGUAGAUAUCAGGAGGAACACCGGUGGUGUAGACGGCUCUCUGGACCGUAACUGACGCUGAGACACGAAAGCGUGGGUAGCAAACAGG
rnacentral:rRNA from 1 species